rnacentral:tRNA from 1 species
GAGGGUAUAGCUCAGUGGUAGAGUGCUUGCUUAGUACGCAGUGGGUCCUGGGUUCAACUCCCAGUACCUCUA